GUGGUCUGAGGGGUCCUGGGCGUGAGGGGAUCGGUGGGGAGAGGUCGUUGGUCAGGUGGGCUCUUGUGAGAAGGGGGUUAGCCGGCUGUGAGGGCUUGUAUGAGGAGGAACCUUUGGUGUGAGGAGCUCUUGGGGAGGGCUCAUUGGUGUGAGGAGAGAGUAACCAGCUGUGACGAGUUUUGCCAGGAGGGGUUUUGGCAUGGGGGGCGGUUUUAGGGGACAGGUGAGGGGUUGCUGAGGGACAGGAGAACAAGAGAGAGCUGGCAUGAGGGGGUGCUGAGGGGAGUUUGGGAAAGAGGUUCUGUGGAAACCCCAUGUGGGACACUGAGGGCAGAGAGGGGCCUGAGGGAGAAGAUGGUGAGGAGCUGUUGCUGAGACCAUUUGAGCUCGGCCACAGUUUUGGGAGGCAGCAGGCCUGAGAAAAGGUGUGGGGGAAUAGAGAGAUGGGGGCCUCAGCAAUGGGGUACAUGUGGCCUGGACAUGGGUAGGGAGAAGAGGGGUAGGGGAGAGGCCUGGCAUAGGUGGCAGGGGACAGUGGGUUUGGGGCAGGCUGGCUGGAGGACAUGGAGCCGAGUGGAGCUGCCUGUGGCCAGGAGCAGCUCAGCUACAGGCAGUGACAAUCCCAGAAGGUGGUAGGUGACUGCUCUAGUGCAAGUGCCCUCACCGAAUGGGUGUAUUUCAGCCUGCCCUUGGCCAAGCUGUAUCUAGGUUGUGGCCAGAAGAAGGGAAAAAAAUCUCAUGGGCUGAGCACAUGGUCUCCUAAACUGUACUCUUGGCUCUCAGUGGUGGGGUGUUGAACUUGAUUACAGCUGGAGGAAUUCUAAACAGUCCACUUCUCCUUGUCAUGGUGUUUGGGCGCAUUGUGCUCGGGUCUGAACAGAGGAAAUCACUGAGACAGGCAGAGCUACUGGGGACUGUUUAACCUGGGAUGGGGGACGCCUGAGGAAUGUUACUGGCCGUGACAAUUGUGGACCACAUCUAGAGUUUUGUGAACAUGUCCCAAAGUGGCCUGAUACUUUGCUUUUUCAAAUCCCAAUAGGAAAAGUGAGACAAAUGUGGAUCACUUCAAACAUAUGUUGUUGUGGGUAUUGGGAGAGGCAAACUAAAGGUUUAUCUGAUGAUCUCAACCUUGAAGUUGGCAGCUAUGACAGGAAACUUGGUUUCAUUCAUCUGCCAAAGAUAUUUGUAGUGUAUCAUUUGACAAGUUAAAAGGCAUUUUUGUAAUGACACAAAAAUAAAAUCAUCCACUUUCUGAAACUACA
rnacentral:lncRNA from 1 species